rnacentral:rRNA from 1 species
GAUGAACGCUAGCUACAGGCCUAACACAUGCAAGUCGAGGGAAACGGCAGCUUAGCUUGCUAAGCUGGACGUCGACCGGCGCACGGGUGAGUAACGCGUAUCCAACCUGCCCCACGGUGAGGGAUAACCCGCGGAAACCGCGGCCUAAUACCUCAUGGUCUCCGAGCUUGACAUCAACCUUGGAGUAAAGAUUCAUUGCCGUGGGAUGGGGAUGCGUCUGAUUAGCUUGUUGGCGGGGCAACGGCCCACCAAGGCGACGAUCAGUAGGGGUUCUGGAGAGGAAAGCCCCCCCANAUUGGAACUGAGACACGGUCCAAACUCCUACGGGAGGCCAGCAGUGAGGAAUAUUGGUC